AUAUAGGCUCGUGGUGGAGAGCGGUCAUGCACCAGUGAAAAAGGACGAUUCUACGAUUCCUUUUAAAACCAAACAACUCGGCAAUUAUUACAAACUAGUCGUUAACCCGUGGAAGAAUCCAUGGGGUCGCCUGUCCUUUAUAUAUCGCAUUUCAUGUUUUCGUAACAGGAAGCGUCUUUAAUGGCAGACAGACAGACGACGGCUAUUAUUAACUAGCCGUUAACCCGUGGAAAAAUCCACGGGGUCGCCCGUCCCUUAUAUAUCGCAUUUCGUGUUUCGUGUUUCUGUAACAGGACGCGGUUUUCGCGGACAGACAGACAAAAUACGGCUAUUAUUAAAGAGAAGAGAAGAAGGACAGCAGAAGCAUUCCUUCACUUCUUACAGAAUUUAAAUGCUUGUAACCGGAUUUUUAACAUGUCCACAACAGAUUGUGCGUUUUUAACAGCUUUUGUAAUUAAGAUGCAUCGAACCCGUUGAUGAUAAUUUCUGCUUCGUUGCUUAAAUAGUGGUAAAGUUGAACGAUUCAGGAAGCGUGGACUGGUUUUAAAUCUAACAACUUUGAGGAAAUCUUCACAUCCGCAGGAUCAAUGCCUCGUUUCAACUGAAUUGCCACUUGAUUUGAAAACUUUUUAUUGUACAAACUUUGUUUUAAUAAGAAAUAACAAAAAUCCAAAAUAAACAAAAUUUUCGUCGAACAAAAUUUUUCGCGGACUAAAAUGACGAAAACUUCAGGUGUCCGAAAAAUUUUGUCGGACAAAACUUUUGUCCGACAAAGUUUUCGUCCAAUUAGGUGAAAACACAGAAAACAGCCCGUCCAGCUAAAAAAAUCGCUCAGCAAUUUUAUUUUGCGGAAUAAGUCUGGUGUAGCUACCUGCUUUUGGCAUAAGAAUUACUAAUUAAGAAUUUUGUUGUAGCUGGCUAAACUGUAUCACACAUGCUUUUAGGCUUAAUACGCUUUUCAAAAAAACUACAUUGCAUCUUUGGUUUACAGAACACAGAAUACACUCUGUAAAAAGGCUAGGUAACUGUUACCCGCCGUUGAACACCCGGAUGAGUGAUUAAUAAGAGCCGUCAACUGCGCCACAUAUUCAGGUAAAGCGCUUUAGUAAAGUUAUGUAGUAUGUAGUAAAUCAAAUGAAGUGCACACAACUUUAUGGUGUGUCCAGUGUAAUAUGUUUUUUAUCAAAUAACUUUCCACAACUUAAGCUGAAAUAAAAACACAGAUUACAAUUUGUUGUUACCCCGUCAUAUCAAAAACUUUCUGGCAAACCUUUUUUAUUUUUCGGAUAAUGUUCCCGGUGAGUGUUAGCUGACCAUUUAGUACGGGUAAAUAAUGUGACACAUCCAUACAGAUGUAAUACCAAUUUACCAUGUCACACAUGAGUAUAGGCGUAACACUAUUUUUCAAAAGAACUUCAUCGCAAAUUCGGUUAAAAAAAGUCCAGGAAACCGCUGUUGUUAUCAUGUUCAGUUAAAAAAAUACUCAGCAAUUUUAUUUUGCACCAUAAGUUUUCAUAACAGUAAUAAAAGUGGUAUCUGCCUAACUUCAUUUAGCAUAAGAAUUAAGAAUUGUGUUGCAGCCAAACUGCAUUUGGCUACUUUCACUUUUUGGUCAGAAGUAGCUAAGGAGCUAGCUAGGUAAACACAACUUUAACAUAAAAAUAAAUAAUACUGGCUAGGAUAUAAAGCUGUUAUACUAAACUGAAUAGUAAUAACUAAGGCUAGCUAGCUAGCUGAUUGUAGAAUGCUCCUUAAAAAUCUUCGUUCCUAGCCAAAAAUCAAGAAAUUUUUGGGUUUGAGAUUUGUACUUAGCUACAAAACGUGAGAAUAUAUUUAUCUUAACAUGUAAAAAUAUGUAAAAAAACAAAAAUGAAAACCUUUUUGAAGACAAAAACAGAUUAACCGUCAAUGCCACAGCUUUUAAAAUGGCCGUAGCUCAGAUUGCUUUAUCUUUCCUUCAUUGGUAAAAAUCUGAUUCUGCGGGGUUUUCCCAAAAUUUUCUGAUAAAAGCCGCGCACAACCAUUUUGAAUAUACAGAAUACGGCUAUUAUUAAAGAGAAGAUGGACAACAGAAGUGAUAACCAUUAAAAGAAAUAAACUAACACUAAAUACACAAGAGAAAUCAGUGUCAUUAAGGCUUUUUAACUAACUAUACAUAGAUUUCCAUAGAUUGUAAUGGCAAUAUAAUGUGUGUUACGAGUAAGUUAUGUGUGUUUGAGAAUGUAUUUACAGUCUCUGUGGAUAAAGAAGUAAAAAAAUUGUUGGAAAAAAACUUCAUAAAAGACUGCAUGUAAUGAUUGCAUGAUCCUUCUCUAAAGUGACCCUGUUCAUUUAGGUGCAGUGAUGGGUUGUAUGAAGAAAAAAGUGCCAGCUUGUAUAAGAAUCGUGUUUUCAGUGUAAAUUUAGCUGAUUACUUAUACAAGACUAGUUGAUAAAGCCCAUGUGAAAAUCCACUAAGGCAGAAGAACAAUGGAAAAAUAGGUUGCUUUAGAUUUUUUGCCGACGUCAGCAGUGCAUAUACAAAAAGAAAAUUGGUUAAAAUUAGUCAUUCGUUGUCUGUAAGGUGUGGAGGUUGAAACGUUGACCAAAAUAAUGUAUGGUAUCGUAUGUUUUUGACAAACGCUUAGGGAGAUAUAAGGGCUUAAAAAUUUUUCUGACGUCAGCAAAGUCCCUACCAAAAGUUCCAAAAAAAUUUCUUAAUUCGUACAGCCGAUGCAUUCAUCGUAUAGAUCUUGAAAUGCAGAUCAAGAAAAUGUAUAGGAACAUGGACUUUUGACAAACGGUUGCAGAGAUAUUGGGGUUUGAAGGUUUUGUGAUGACGUCCUCAACCUUUCCAUUCCGAAACGGAUUCGGGGACCCAGGCUUGGGAAACUUACCCAAAUUGGUCCCGGGUGGUCCCUAGUUACUUACGUGGUGAAAAAUCACUGACGUCACCACCUCGUUUUCAAGUUAUUUGGCGGUUGCAGAGAUAUUGGGGUUUGAAGGUUUUGUGAUGACGUCCUCAACCUUUCCAUUCCGAAACGGAUUCGGGGACCCAGGCUUGGGAAACUUACCCAAAUUGGUCCCGGGUGGUCCCUAGUUACUUACGUGGUAAAAAAUCACUGACGUCACCACCUCGUUUUCAAGUUAUUUGGCCUCAAAGCUUUAAGUGCACUGUAAUGGCUUCAUUUAUUUAAUAUAGAAUAUUAACGUUGAAGUAGUCUUAUUGACGUCGCGCCGUAACGUCAGAAAAUUUAACAUAUUAGACAUGCAUUUUUCAGUUACUUCAAAGAAAAUUUCGGUAAGAUCAAAGGAAAAUGAACAUAUCCACUUUGCCUGUUAUAUAUAUAUAUAUAAUGUAUAUAAGAUAAAUGUUUAUCAUUCAUUUAUUUUUUAUGUUAAAAAAUAAUUAUUUGAGGAAACUUAUUUUUUUUAGGAAAAUCUUUGUAAAACAUUCACAUAACUAUUUAAGUAAUUUUGUUUAGAUAAAUGCUGUAAUGCCAAAAGGAAAAUACUGGGUUAGGCAGCCAAUGGUAAGUUUUUAUUAAAUUUGAUUUGAGAUUUGAAAUUUGAUUUGAGGUUUAAUUUGAAAAAAAAUAUAAAAGUAAUGUUGUGUAGUGGGUUGCACGUACUAUUACUUUCAGUUAAAAAGUCCAAAAAUCAACGUGAUAGAAUAUAAUUAAUUGGAUAUAACAAUUUAAUUGCUAUGUUGUGCUUUUUUUAUGGUUUAUAGAGAACAGACAAAAGAUAUUGCCGACAGAAACGAUGGUGAAAGCAUUAGAGAACAAAGAAUCUUUACAACAAGUGAAGUGAAGAAACUCAAAGUCGCGAUAACCUAGAUUCACAGCAAGCAUGACGAAUUCAUGGUGGUUCAGUUAAAUUUAAAAUAUAAAAUUAUUGAUAGAUAGACAAUUGUCAACCAGGCCUUAACUUUUGCAAUCUUAAAGUUAAAGUCCAAUUGACAAGUAAAAAUUAGGGCCUAAAAAUAUUUUUCCGUUCGACUUCCUUUUGAAUAUUUUUCAUUUUGUGUCGUAGUGUAAAACGUUUGAAAUAUUUUUUUGCAUAUUGGGAAAAGCUGCCAAAAGGGAACAAAUCCAUAGUUCAGCUUGUUUUGAUUAACCACAAAAAAAGCUUAGGGAUGAAUUUCCCGUAUUUAAAAGCAAUCCAUACACAUUGUUUCAGUAAAUUCGGUCUUUGAAAAAAACACGUUUGGGGAGAUAAUUUACCCGCAUUAAGAAGCAAUCCAUACAAGCAAUCCAUGAUAUUCAGUUCUUUUAGUAAAUUCGGUCUUUAGAAAAAACAUUUACGGAGAUAAUUUACCGGUAUUAAGAAGCAAUCCAUACAUAUAAAAUUCAGUUGUUUUAGUAAAUUCGAUUUUUGAAAUAUAUAUAUAUAUAUAUAUGAACACAAAUUGUAGCUAUAGGAAUAACCAACAAGAUAGAUGACUACAUCAAGAAUUAAGUAAAAAGAUUUUAUUAUUUAAAAUUUUCGUCAGUUCAUCGACUGACUUCUUCAGUAUCGCUUACAAUACAGUAUUAACAAUUAAAAUAUCUUAUAUAGUGAUAAAAAUAAAUUAUAUACAAUUAAAUACACAAGGGUUUAAAACUGGUUUCCAUCACCAUCAUCCUACUAUCAACUUAACACACGGUUUCUACAACUUGCAUUUUUCUGUUCUUUUAGUUCUAUUCCAGUCAUGAGAACCAUUAAGUCCCUGAUGUUGUGUGACGAGUGUCCCUAUCCAGAAUUUUUCUUUAUCUAAUAGCAAACUAUCAAUUUGCCUGUUUGUUAAAUUCUCUCCAUUGUUCACAACAUCAACUAUAAUAAACCCAAUAUUUUGCACGGAGGCAUUAGGGCAUUCAUCAAUAAAAUGUUUCACAACUUUGCAAGAUGGUAUCUUCUUUUUAAUGUGGGAUUUGUAAUUCGAAAGUCGAGGCUUCCAAGCAAUGUAAAAAUAUAUAAAAAAACAAGGACAGACUUAGCAACGUCAACGUUACGCAACUUUGAAAAUGGCCGUAAUAACACUGCUCUCUGCUUUACACAUCCCUUUGUCGUGGCUGCAAAAUCUCGGAUUGGUUUUUCAAAAAAAAUCAGGCGUUGCAAUUGAAUGCUACACGCGGGAGAAUAAAACAAAGUCGGUAAAUAUAUAUCGCAUUUGGUAUUUUGUGCAGAUA